AAACAGGCUACAAACAGGACAUCUGACACACAGACGGGAAGCAGUCAGUAAAACCCAGCAGGAAGAUCAGUGUCAUCUGAAAACUACAGCCGCACAGGGUUGGCCAGUUUGACCUGGAUCUGAGCACAAUGGAAGGAGCCAAACACCCCCACAACCUCCAGCAGACCAUCAUCCAGCCUGCAGUCCAAGACCAGAAACACAGCUGCUCACUUUUAGUCGCCAUGACCUAAACUUAAAAGCAGUAAUCACACUUUAUACAUCCUACCGAGUCGGGGGGCAUGGUUCGUCUCCCAUUCCCUCCCAGAGUCUGCAGCCUCCACCCCAAUAGCCGAUGUUACAAACGAUGAUGCCCUCCAGACUGGGCAGCGCCACCCUCUCCCCAUCCAGCUCCAGCUGUUAUGGAAACACACACAAACAAAAGUUUCACAUAAAAUAAACAAGAGUGAUUGCAACAUGAACCACUGUUAUGUACUUUUUAAUGCUUCUUCUGCACCCGCUGUAAUGGUUUUAAAUGUUUUAUUUAAAGCACUUUGAAUUGUAUGUGAAAUGUGCUGUACUAAUAAACUUCUCUUGAUACUGUG